rnacentral:misc_RNA from 1 species
UUGAUUGCGAAUCGUUGCCUUCAGUGCUGGCCGGCCUCGGCAUGUGCACGUUGGUGGCUUUCAUCCAAUACCCUGUGAACCUUUGGCCUCUUGCUAGCUUUGGCCGGCAGAGGAUUUUUACACAAACUCGAAUGUAAUGAAAUUUAUUAUCGUGCGCAAGCACUAAUGUA